rnacentral:rRNA from 1 species
AUGGCGGCGACGGUGCGGUUCGGGCUCCUGGUGGCGAUGUUCCAGGCCAUGACGCGGGACCGCACGUCCGCGAAGAAGCGGGGCCGCCUCCGCACGUUCCUCGACCGCGCCUACGGGGCCAGCGGCAGGGACGACUACUUCAGCGCGCUCCGCCUCAUCCUCCCGUCCCUCGACCGCGAGCGCGGCUCCUACGGCCUCAAGGAGGCCGCCCUCGCCGCCGCGCUCGUCGAAGCGCUCGGCAUCGCCAAGGACUCCCCCGACGCCGUCCGGCUCACCAACUGGCGCCGCGGCGGCGGCGGCCGCAACGCGGGCAACUUCUCCCUCGUCGCCGCCGAGGUGCUGCAGCGGAGGCAAGGAAUGACUUCUGGUGGGUUGACAAUAAAGGAGGUUAAUGACGCACUCGAUCGUCUAUCUGCAAGUGACACUAGGUCUGAGAAGGCUUCGGUUCUUUCAAGUCUGAUCAAGAAAACCAAUGCCCUUGAAAUGAAGUGGCUUCUAAUGAUUAUUAUUAAAGACUUGAAAUUGGGGAUCAGUGAGAAGAGCAUAUUCCAUGAAUUUCAUCCUGACGCUGAGGACUUGUUCAAUGUUACUUGUGACUUAAAACGGGUCUGUGAAAAGCUUAAUGAUCGAAGUCAAAGGCAUAAACGUCAGGAUAUAGAAGUCGGAAAGGCUGUGAGGCCUCAGCUAGCUAUGAGAGUCGGUAACGCUUCAUCUGCAUGGAAGAAGCUUCAUGGCAAACCAGUGGUUGCUGAGUGCAAAUUUGAUGGCGACCGUAUCCAAAUUCACAAGAAUGGGGAAGAGAUUCAUUUCUUCUCACGGACCUUUCUUGAUCAUUCUGAAUAUACAUCUGGGAUGUCCAAAUUUAUUAAGGAAAAUAUCCUGGUUGACAGGUGUAUUUUGGAUGGGGAGAUGCUUGUUUGGGACACUGCGCUUAAUCGGUUUGCUGAAUUUGGCUCAAACCAGGAAAUAGCAAAGGCUGCUAGUGAGGGGCUGGAGACAAAUCGACAGGUUUUAGAUAUUGCUUUUGACAUUCUUUAUUCUGGAGACACUAGUGUUAUCCACCAAAGUUUGUCGGAGCGGCACGAAAUUCUGCGGAAGGUUGUCAAACCUUUAAAGGGUCGUCUUGAGAUUUUGGUCCCAACAGGUGGUCUAAACACCCAUCGCCCCCCAGAUGAACCAUGCUGGUCCAUUUUUGCUCCCAAUAUUGAAGACAUUGAGAAAUUCUUCAAGGAGACUGUCGAAAACAGGGAUGAGGGAAUUGUACUAAAGGACCUUGAUUCCAAAUGGGAACCUGGUGAUCGAACUGGAAAGUGGCUUAAACUAAAGCCUGAUUAUAUACAUGCUGGUGCUGAUCUGGAUGUUAUUAUUAUAGGUGGAUAUUAUGGAUCAGGGCGUCGAGGAGGAGAGGUUGCACAGUUUUUAGUUGGUCUUGCAGUGUCUUCAGAUGAUAAUAGUCACCCCAAAAGAUUUCUUUCAUUUUGUCGAGUCGGUACUGGUCUCUCCGAUGAAGAACUUGCCACUCUAGUCGCGAAGCUGAAGCCCCACUUUAGCAAAAGUGGGACCCCCAAAAAAACACCCAGAUUUUAUGAAGUAACAAACAAUUCGAAGGAGCGGCCAGAUGUUUGGAUAGAAAGCCCUGAUAAGUCAGUCAUACUAUCUAUAACAAGUGAUAUUCGAACAAUCAAAUCCGAGGUUUUUGCUGCCCCAUACUGCUUGAGGUUCCCCCGCAUUCAACGAGUGAGAUAUGAUAAGCCAUGGCACGAGUGCCUUGAUGUGCAAUCAUUUGUGGAGAUCGUGCACUCAAGUAAUGGGUCAAUGCACAAGGCAGAAGAUGAUAAGAGUCUGAAAAACGACAACUUAAAGAACCCAAAAAUAAACAAAAGGGGGGAGAAGAAGAAUGUAUCAAUCAUCCCUUCACAUCUUAUGAAGACUGACAUAUCAGGCUUAAAGGGCGAAACCCUGAUAUUUGCAAACACGAUGUUCUAUUUUGUCAACACCCCUCCGUCAUAUAACCUCGACUAUUUCCAUAAACUGGUUGUGGAGAAUGGAGGAUCUUUCUCGAUGAAUCUUAAUGACUCUGUUACUCACUGCAUAGCAGCAGAGAAGAAAGGUAUCAAAUAUCAGGCGGCCAUACGCCACGGAAGGAUCAUUCAUUAUUCCUGGAUCUUGGACUGUUGCAAGCAAAAAAUACUUCUUCGUUUGCAACCCAAGUAUAUCCUCUUUCUUGCAGAUUUUGCCAGGCACAAAUUUCCUGAAGAGAUCGACUCAUAUGCUGAUUUUUACUACUGGGACAUCGAUGUUUCUGACCUGAAGCAGAUUUUCAUCAACAUGGACAAAGUUACUGUCGAUCCAAGCAUGGUACAUCGGUACAAAAAGAAGUAUUAUGCUGAUGAAAGAUUCUGCUUCUUCCAGGGCUGCUGCAUUUACUUGUAUCAUGCACCUUUAGUGAAUGAGGACUACAACGUAAUAUCUGAUCUUGCACUAAAGAGGGUGAAGCACGACCUUACAAUGCAUGGUGGUCAGUAUUGCAGUAGCCUUGCUCCUGCCACCCAUUUGGUUAUAGUUUCAGUUCUUCAGGUGUACAAUUUUGACAUAUUGUACAAGAGCUUCUCUCCAGCUGAGAGGCGUUACCUACAUGACAAAAGAUUGCAUGUUGUCAGUAACAAGUGGUUAGAAGAUUCAGUGGAGAAACAAAUGAAAUUGCCUGAAACCGCCUACAACCUUAAACCGGAUACAUUAGAAGAAAUACAAAUCGAAAGGAGUGAGGAAAAGGCCCAGCCCUCUAAUGACAAGACUGCUAAAAAUGAGGAUGUUGAAAUAUCUCAUGUUAAACAUGCAAGGAAAAGGGGCAGGGCGGCUGGCAAUAGUUCGAGAACUGUACGGGCUGCUCCUAGGCCAGUCCGAACAACAAGGGCUAGAAGAGGAAAUAAGCAGGCAAAAAUAGAUGAUGGUGAACCUGAAGAAAACGGUCCUGGUGAAACAGGUCAAGAUGAUGAAAAGUCGAACACAGAUCACAUCUCCAGGAUGGAAGAAGAUAACAGUGACAAGGACCAACGACCACCUCGAGCUGCUCCUAGACCAGUUCGAAGAACAAGUGCUAGAAGAGGAACCCGGCAAGCAAAAACAGACUAUCGUGAAUCUGACGAAAGCGGCCCUGGUGAAACAGGUGAAGAUCAAAAGCUGGGCACAGAUUCCGUCGUAAAGAUGGAAGAAGAUAGCCUGGAUGAAGACCAAGGACCGCCAGCAGGUGCCCAGUUCAUCACACUGGAUGAGCGAGAGCCAAAAGUCGUUAAAUUGAGUGCAGCAGAGGAUACGACAACCAGUCCAAAGUUCGAAAGCAAAGGAACUUCUGAAAGAACAGACGCUGGUGAAGGAACGAGCAUGGCAGGUGAGAAGAUAGAACAGAUGGUUGAUCCUCUGCACGCGAUGCUCCUCGACAUGAUACCGUCACUUAGGGAAGACGCGAGCAGCGAUCCCCCAGCCAAAGUUGAGCAUGAUCCAUCGCGUGUGAGAAGUUCCACGUCGGAUAACAGGGUUCCGGUGCCUGAGACAGGAGGCUCUGCAUCCAAUCCUGUGGCUCCGGCACCGCGUGCAGGAAGUUCGUCAUACAGUGCGGGGGUUCCAGCCCCAGAUCCAAAUCCCGUGGCUCCGAAGAAGAAAAAGGUGAGCUACAAAGAUCUGGCCGACGAGUUUCUGAAAGAUUGGUGA